ACGGUGUGAAUUGGUACCACUUUCAGGAAAGCAAUUUGGCAGAAUGCUUCAAGAUUCAUAAAAAAAGAUCAUGUCUAUGAUUGGAAGUUUUUAUACCUGGUAAUCUUUCUUAAGUGGAGAUUGUACAGAGGGGAAAACAUUGUAUGUAUGAGUGUGCCACACAAGAGAGCUACAGUUACAACAGCGAAAGGAUGAUUUGGGACACUGGCUAAUGAACUAAUAUACAGGCUUUGAAGACUGACAACAUCAAAAUCAGAACCGUAGAUUUAAAUGGUGUACCCAGCACAAAAUAUGCACAUAACUCCAAGGGCUGAAGAAGAAUUCACAAAAUGACAGCCAGAUGGAAUUAAGAAUAGCUUAAAACAUCUGUAUUGUGGAACACUACAGACCUCACAGAAGCAGACAAGAUCGUUCCCUACUAGUGGCUAAAGUGACUGGAACAAUGACCUUGUGACCCUGUCUGCAUUUAUUUUAAAAGUAAUUCAAAACCACCUGUUACACUCAAUUAUUAGACAAUUCAGCUAGUUAGUAUUAUUUUCUCAAUCUCCCCGUAUCUUCUGUGAAACCAUUGACAGUUUUGAAGAACACAGGAGAACGUUCCUCAAUUUGAGACUUCUCAUAUUCCUCAUUACCAGAUUUAGGUGAAGCAUAUUUUAUAGGAUUAUUGUGGAAGUAGUGUGUGUUUUUAUUAGUGUUUUGUACCAGCAUAUACACAAUCUGAACUUAUAUCAUGAAUAGAAAUGUUCUUUGAUCACCCAGGAAUCUGUCAAAUAUUAUUUCCCCCCGAGAUACACUGAGUAUCUAAAUAUCUUUUCAUUUCCAACUCGCCCAGUAGUUUCUAGCAUCAGCCGAUAAAUUCUGCCUGAUGAAUUAUGAUGAUUGACAAGUAAUAUCUUUUCCAAUGUCAAAAUGUCUCCUACUUUUGACAACUAUCUUUCAUUUCUUCAUGGCCAUUACAAUCAUUACAUUCAUUGGCUUUCUUCUUUAAGGGAUUUCUCUUUACCACUGACACGUGACUCCACAGGUUAUUAUCUACUAGUGCUAUUGACUGGGAUGUUUAAUCAUUUCCGAUUAUUACAUUAGUAUAAGCCCAUCACACUCAACCCAGUGUCUUUACACAUAUCACCCCAUACUUGCUUGGUACUUUCUGGCCUACAGUGUUGCAGUCUCAUCAUACUGGCCUUGGAAUCAACUCAUUAACUAAGCAAUGCUCGUUUAGUUCUGUAAGUCGCAUGGUAUGCAGAUAUUAGGGUGUGGGUCCAGGUACACUCAUUGCUACAAGAAUGUCGUGCUUCUGUAUCAUAGACUGGGAUGCUAAUGUACACACCCACUCAUGGGUGAGUGUGUCUAUAUAUUUACUUAGCUCUUUCAUUUAUCUGAGAAAUCUGUAACCAGAAACUUACACUGCUGUCUCUAAUUCAUUCUAGUUCACAUUGCAAGGCUCAGUUUCCUUUCCCCCUUCCCUAUUUGUUUUUCCCCCAACAUAAUUUUUAUUAAUUACUUGUGAAUUUCAUAUAAUGCACCCCAUCAUACUUAAUUCCCAUCCCUUCCAGGUCCACCCUUCUACCCUUGUACCCCAAAGAGUAAUACACCAAGUCCAACUUAUGUUGCCCAUAUACUCAUUGGGCCAACUCUUUAAAGAAAACUGAGGCCCACCCCAUCCCCAUGCCAGGAGCCAACUGUGAAGGUCUACAUCUUUAUCACAAUUUUAAGAUCUCCCUUUUAAGGUCUUCCUAUGUAGGAUGGUGUUAUUAUGCAGGUGAAGGCAGGUACAAGGUAGAAUGAGGCCUGUCAUUGGAUGAGACGGCAGGAUAGGCAGGAGAAAAUUUUUAAAGGGAGGAGACUGGAGUGAGGGGAGGAGAGAAGCAGCCAAGAGAACAUGGAGGCAAAUGUUGAUACCUCUCUGCACAUUUACAG
ensembl:lncRNA